UACGUAGGGUGCGAGCGUUGUCCGGAAUUAUUGGGCGUAAAGGGCUCGUAGGCGGUUUGUUACGUCGGGAGUGAAAACCCAGGGCUCAACCCUGGGCCUGCUUCCGAUACGGGCAGACUAGAGGUAUGCAGGGGAGAAUGGAAUUCCUGGUGUAGCGGUGAAAUGCGCAGAUAUCAGGAGGAACACCGGUGGCGAAGGCGGUUCUCUGGGCAUUACCUGACGCUGAGGAGCGAAAGUGUGGGGAGCGAACAGG
rnacentral:rRNA from 1 species